GUCUACUGCCAUGCCACCUUGAAUGUGCCCAAUCUCGGCUGAUCUCGGAAGCUAAGCAGGGUCAGGCUUGGUUAGUACUUGGAUGGGAGACCACCUUGGAAUACCAGGUGCUUGUAGGCA
rnacentral:rRNA from 1 species